UUAAAAAUUGCAUUCAUGCAGUUCAGAUAAAAAACAAUUGACGUUGAUUAACUGACUGGUGAAAACAAAUUGAUUUUAACCAGCUUCAUUAGAUUUAACAAUGUACCAAGUCCUAGAGUAAUGCUGCUGGAUAAUCUUAAAAUUAAUCUGAAGAUCUAAAAUCAGAUUCAGAAUGCAUAGUUAAAUAUUAGUUAAAGCUGUAUUGAUAUUAUUAGAGUAGCUGUGGAAGCAAUAAGCCAAUAAGCAGUUUAUUUGAUGAGACAUUUGUAUUGGUACCAAAUAAGCCAAUAAGCAGUUUAUUUGAUGAGACAUUUGUAUUGGUACCAAAUAAGCCAAUAAGCAGUUUAUUUGAUGAGACAUUUGUAUUGGUACCAAAUAAGCCAAUAAGCAGUUUAUUUGAUGAGACAUUUGUAUUGGUACCAGAUAAACCAGUUUACAAGAGUAGAUUUGAACAUGUGCUCCUCUAUAUUUUUUUUGAAUGCUGCAUGAGUUAGCCACUAUGUACUGUUUAUAAUUAUCAAUUUACCGGUCCCAUAAAAUUUCAAGAUAUCAUUUGGGUCAAAGAGUGGAUUAGAUGGUUUAUGAUGAGAAUAUCCACUCCUUUUGAGCCCAUCAUAAUACAUAAUUUCAAUCAGUUUUUUAAUAAAUAAAUGAGAAUAUGGGGAGUCCGAUUCAACUCAAGAUCCCUCACAAUCCAAGUUUUGAUACCAAUUUCAAUAAAUGAGAAUAUCAGGAGGUUGCUUAUUGCUGAGAUUGACACCAUAUUAAGUGACAAUAAAGCCAUAUAAACAAAGUCAUGUAAAUACCAGGCAAGUGGCAAAGAGGCUAUAAAAGGGACAAUUCCAUAGUAACUAUAAAUACAAGCUGUCUGUAAGCUGUGGGUGGAGUUUUAUCUCUAAUGUUCUGUACCAGAUAUACUUGUAAGAGUGAUAACACGCGCCCCAAAUUUGUAGCUAAAACUCGAUGCACAGACUUGCAAAUGCAUUCAUGUCACACCAUACUACGAGCUUCACUACUAUUUCUUUGUUGUCAUAUACUCUUCCUUCUCAGUAUUGUAUCUUGAUAGUCUCAUGUAUCUAUUUUUUCCGGGUGAAGAGAUUAUAGUACAUCUGUCAACAUUUAAUUUUAACAUGAGAACAAAUAUUGCUAUUUAACAAUCAUAACAUAAUUAACUGAAUAAUACUUGAAAUGCUGUGAGUACUCAGUAUAGCAUAAAUAUUAUAACCAGCAUUUACAUUUAUGUAAAAUUCAAAGUAGUAAAAGAACAAAAAAUAUCUAUUAGACAUGCAAAAAUGUAAAGAAUAACAAGGGGAGGGAGGAGAGGCAACACAGGGAACUCGGGAGUACAUGAUUCAGAAAUGAUGACCAUAUAUACAAUACAACUUGUUGAGAAAGUCUGGUACAAGUACCUCAAAAUUCUUUAAUUAACCUGAAAUUGUGUGC
rnacentral:lncRNA from 1 species